rnacentral:rRNA from 1 species
AUUGAACGCUGGCGGCAGGCCUAACACAUGCAAGUCGAGCGGAGCGGCAGACGGGUGAGGGAUGCCUAGGAAUCUGCAUGGUAGUGGGGGAUAACGGCCGACAACGGGCGCUAAUACCGCAUACUAUAAGAUGAGACUAGGUCGGAGUAGCUAGUAGGUGGGGUAAAGGCCUACCAAGGCGACGAUCCGUAACUGGUCUGAGAGGAUGAUCAGUCACUCUGGAACUGAGACACGGUCCAGACUCCUACGGGAGGCAGCAGUGGGGAAUAUUGGACAAUGGGCGAAAGCCUGAUCCAGCCAUGCCGCGUGUGUGAAGAAGGUCUUCGGAUUGUAAAGCACUUUAAGUUGGGAGGCGUUACCAACAGAAUAAGCACCGGCUAACUUCGUGCCAGCAGCCGCGGUAAUUC